rnacentral:rRNA from 1 species
GUGACUGCGUACCUUUUGUAUAAUGGGUCAGCGACUUAUAUUCAGUGGCGAGCUUAACCGAAUAGGGGAGGCGUAGCGAAAGCGAGUGUUAAUAGCGCGUUUAGUCGCUGGGUAUAGACCCGAAACCGGGCGAUCUAUCCAUGGGCAGGUUGAAGGUUGGGUAACACUAACUGGAGGACCGAACCGACUACCGUUGAAAAGUUAGCGGAUGACCUGUGGAUCGGAGUGAAAGGCUAAUCAAGCUCGGAGAUAGCUGGUUCUCCUCGAAAGCUAUUUAGGUAGCGCCUCAUGUAUCACUGUAGGGGGUAGAGCACUGUUUCGGCUAGGGGGUCAUCCCGACUUACCAAACCGAUGCAAACUCCGAAUACCUACAAGUGCCGAGCAUGGGAGACACACGGCGGGUGCUAACGUCCGUCGUGAAAAGGGAAACAACCCAGACCGUCAGCUAAGGUCCCAAAAUCCUGGUUAAGUGGGAAACGAUGUGGGAAGGCUUAGACAGCUAGGAGGUUGGCUUAGAAGCAGCCACCCUUUAAAGAAAGCGUAAUAGCUCACUAGUCGAGUCGGCCUGCGCGGAAGAUGUAACGGGGCUCAAACCAGGUACCGAAGCUACGGGUAUCACCUUAGGGUGAUGCGGUAGAGGAGCGUUCUGUAAGCCUGUGAAGGUGAGUUGAGAAGCUUGCUGGAGGUAUCAGAAGUGCGAAUGCUGACAUGAGUAACGACAAUGGGUGUGAAAAACACCCACGCCGAAAGACCAAGGUUUCCUGCGCAACGUUAAUCGACGCAGGGUUAGUCGGUCCCUAAGGCGAGGCUGAAAAGCGUAGUCGAUGGAAAACAGGUUAAUAUUCCUGUACUUCUGGUUAUUGCGAUGGAGGGACGGAGAAGGCUAGGCCAGCUUGGCGUUGGUUGUCCAAGUUUAAGGUGGUAGGCUGAGAUCUUAGGUAAAUCCGGGAUCU